GACGUAGGGGGCCAGCGUUGUUCGGAAUUACUGGGUGUAAAGGGUUCGUAGGCGGUGUGGCAAGUCGGGAGUGAAAUCUCUGGGCUCAACCCAGAGACUGCUUCCGAAACUGCUGUGCUGGAGUGUGGGAGAGGCGCGUGGAAUUGCAGGUGUAGCGGUGAAAUGCGUAGAUAUCUGCAGGAACACCCGUGGCGAAAGCGGCGCGCUGGACCACUACUGACGCUGAGGAACGAAAGCUAGGGGAGCAAACAGG
rnacentral:rRNA from 1 species